AAAAUAUUAACAUUAUUGUAUUUGUUGACCCAAUGAUGGUGCUCUUGGUUUAAAGCAAAAGGCUCAAGGAAUGGCAAUUCAGUGUGCUUUCAACUCUUUGUUGAACAGAGCGCGCCAUCUAGUGGGCUCAGAAAAUACAGAAAAUGCUUCAUGAAGCUUCAUUUGGAAAUCACUAAUUACCAUAACAUGUGGGAAGAGGGCACUUUUGGGUACCCAUAGAGUCAAUUUUCA